GGGGGCCCGCAAGCGGCGGAGCAUGCGGAUUAAUUCGAUGCAACGCGAAAAACCUUACCUGGGUUUGACAUCAGCCGAAAACUUGCAAAGAUGUGAGGUCCUUCGGGGCGGCUGGCAGGUGGUGCAUGGCUGUCGUCAGCUCGUGUCGUGAGAUGUUGGGUUAAGUCCCGCAACGAGCGCAACCCUCUUUCGAUGUUGCCAGCGCGUUAUGGCGGGGACUCAUCGAAGACUGCCGGGGUCAACUCGGAGGAAGGUGGGGAUGACGUCAAGUCAUCAUGCCCCUUAUGUCCAGGGCUUCACGCAUGCUACAAUGGCCGGUACAAAGGGUUGCGAUACCGUGAGGUGGAGCGAAUCCCAAAAAGCCGGUCUCAGUUCGGAUCGGGGUCUGCAACUCGACCCCGUGAAGUCGGAGUCGCUAGUAAUCGCAGAUCAGCAACGCUGCGGUGAAUACUUUCCCGGGCCUUGUACACACC
rnacentral:rRNA from 1 species